rnacentral:rRNA from 1 species
GAUGAACGCUGGCGGCGUGCCUAAUACAUGCAAGUCGAGCGAACGGACGAGAAGCUUGCUUCUCUGAUGUUAGCGGCGGACGGGUGAGUAACACGUGGAUAACCUACCUAUAAGACUGGGAUAACUUCGGGAAACCGGAACUAAUACCGGAUGAUAUUUUGAACCGCAUGGUUCAAAAGUGAAAGACGGUCUUGCUGUCACUUAUAGAUGGAUCCGCGCUGCAUUAGCUAGUUGGUAAGGUAACGGCUUACCAAGGCAACGAUGCAUAGCCGACCUGAGAGGGUGAUCAGCCACACUGGAACUGAGACACGGUCCAGACUCCUACGGGAGGCAGCAGUAGGGAAUCUUCCGCAAUGGGCGAAAGCCUGACGGAGCAACGCCGCGUGAGUGAUGAAGGUCUUCGGAUCGUAAAACUCUGUUAUUAGGGAAGAACAUAUGUGUAAGUAACUGUGCACAUCUUGACGGUACCUAAUCAGAAAGCCACGGCUAACUACGUG